AAAGAGCGUUGCCAAGACGACGGCUUCCGGGUGGGCGGGCUGUGGUGACUUACGGCCGGAAGGCGAGACUCCGCGGGAAAAGUGGCCCAGUUAGGUGGACCAUAUUGAGGCUGCGGUGGUCACCUCGAUAGUAACCGCGGGUGUGUGCCGCAGUCACGUCAGCGGCCUCCGUUUCCUUUAGCCUUCACUCUCAUCAAAUGAUUUUCCUGUCCAGUUAUAAAGUGCAAGUUGUUGCCCCAAGUGGUCAGGAGAACCUGCAGUAUCUCCAAGAUCUGAAUUUUAAUAUAGAGUUCCUUCAGCCUAAAGAACUUCCUGUGGCAUUUCUUGUACUACAAGUCUGUUGAUCACACAUCAUCUCAGCCUUUAUUUAUCUGUAAGUAUCUAUUUCAUCUUCAUU